rnacentral:snRNA from 1 species
GUGCUCGCUUCAGCAGCACGUAUAUUAAAACUGGAAUGAUACAGAGAAGAUUAGCAUGGCACUUGCACAAGGUUGAAAAAAAGCAAAAAUAAAACAAAAUUUA